UUAUUUAUAUAUGUAUGUGUGGUGUGUGAAGGCUGGUGGAAACACUGUUCUGUGAGCACCAUGUUGGGUUGACUCCAGGAAGAGUAGCUGUACUUGUUACAGCUAAUGGAGAUCAAAUAAAUAAGAAAUCUUGUCCAUC